rnacentral:rRNA from 1 species
UGCCUAAUACAUGCAAGUCGAGCGAGCGGAACUAACAGAUUUACUUCGGUAAUGACGUUAGGAAAGCGAGCGGCGGAUGGGUGAGUAACACGUGGGGAACCUGCCCCAUAGUCUGGGAUACCACUUGGAAACAGGUGCUAAUACCGGAUAAGAAAGCAGAUCGCAUGAUCAGCUUUUAAAAGGCGGCGUAAGCUGUCGCUAUGGGAUGGCCCCGCGGUGCAUUAGCUAGUUGGUAAGGUAAAGGCUUACCAAGGCGAUGAUGCAUAGCCGAGUUGAGAGACUGAUCGGCCACAUUGGGACUGAGACACGGCCCAAACUCCUACGGGAGGCAGCAGUAGGGAAUCUUCCACAAUGGACGCAAGUCUGAUGGAGCAACGCCGCGUGAGCGAAGAAGGUUUUCGGAUCGUAAAGCUCUGUUGUUGGUGAAGAAGGAUAGAGGUAGUAACUGGCCUUUAUUUGACGGUAAUCAACCAGAAAGUCACGGCUAACUACGUGCCAGCAGCCGCGGUAAUACGUAGGUGGCAAGCGUUGUCCGGAUU